ensembl:lincRNA Gm26511 predicted gene, 26511
ACAGAAUUUCACCGCUUCCCGGACACUUAGCUGCCCCCGUUGCUGUUUGAGUGUUCAAGGGACGACCCACGCCCUUCCACACCCUGGGUCGCCUUCUGACGCUUUCCUUUCCACCUCCAAAGCAAAACAGAAGCACCUGCUGGUACCGCUUUAUCCUGUUACAAGGAGUUGAACACACAGAAGGGCAUCUCUUCCAUGGAAGCAAAACCAACCACAUGUGGCCUUUUUCCCCUGUUGACACUGGAUGGCUAAACCAGAAGGCUGUCUGCCAUGGAUAGAGAAGUUUUGAUGAAUCAAAGGCUUAGGGAUUUUCUAAAAGGGACUCAGAUUCUGUCCGUGCCUAGCUCCCUGCAGAACAAACCAGGGCUAGUGUGUUGGCUUAGUGCAUGCAGCCAGGACUGACCUGAUGUGAGUUCAAAUCCGAGGACCCACAUGAGAGGAGAGAACUCGUCCCUGUGAUCUGCACAUUCAUAUUGUGAUGUGUCACAGGCAGUAAUAAAAAAGUAAAUAAUAGAUAAUGCAAAACAAACUACCAGAAGCUGAACGGUGAGACAGGAGAGAGAACGGGACACACUGCACUGGGUUGGUAGGGUACCUGGCUUCGUCCCCAGCAUCACGUAAACCAAGCCUGUUGUCACAAUCUGUGGUCUCAGCACUCCCCGGGGGAGGCAGGAGGACCAUGAGGAUAGCCUCAGCUACACAGAUAGUAGAAGCCAAAAGACAGAAAGGUGUAAAAAGCUGCUUUUGUGAGUUGAUUUCUCUCGGUUUUUUGUUUGUUUGUUUGUUUGUUUGUUUGUUUGUUUGUUUGUUUGUUUGUUUUUUUGAGACAGGGUCUCUCUAUUACAUGGCUCUGGCUGUCCUGGAACCCACUAUGUAGGCCAGACUGGCCUCAAACUCAGAGAGAUCAAUCUGCCUGUCAAAGACAUGUGCCACCGCCCGAACAGCUUGGUUCUUUUUCUCCCUUGAGUUUUGAGGCGCUUAUGCGUGUGCUCACACGUAUAUGUAGGCCAGAGUUCAACGUCAGGUGUCCUCCUUGGUUGCCUCUCACCUAAUUAAAACUCAUGGUAUUACUGAAUUUUGUGUGUGUACACACAUACCCAUGAGUGCUGGGGGUCAGCUAACAGCUUACAGAAGUCCGUUUUCUCCUGAGUGGGUCUCCGUCCCAGCCUGCCACACAUGGCAGUUCACACAUGGCAGCUCCCUGGCUUGGCAACAGGAGACUCACUAUAAAUAACCUGUAACUCCUGGGCUUAGUGAUCCCCUUUCUCUGUCUCCUGAGCAGCUGGGACUCCCCCUCCUCUGCCUUGCCCUCCCCACUGGGCCUCCUUAGAGUCACCAGGAAGGAAUCUCUUCCCUGAAGUCAGGCUGUGUGCUGAGCUGGUCACAGUGGCCGGGGCCUUCCAUGAGGCUGCGGAAAACUCUCUUCCCUGUCCCUGAGGUCACAGAAGUCAUCGAGCUCCUCUUCCUGUGCACAGCCUGCUUGAAAGAAUUAUUAAUGCUAAAACGGUAUUUAUUUUAUUUUUUAUUUUUUCAUUUAAAAAAAAAAGAGCACAACACAUGUGUUCAAACCUUAGGUGACACUGACAAAGAUUUGGUUCAUAUGAUCUGGGAAAUAUUUCUCGGAACCUAACAGGUUAACAAAGUAAUAAAAGAGCAGGUAAGAUGGGUCAGGUGGGUAAAGGUGCUAGCUACUGGACUGAGAGAAGUAACUCUCACCUCCACACACACUGUGGCUGUAACCCUACACCUCCCUCCUCAAUUAAAUAAGUGUAAUUCUGAAAAUAAGCCAGGCUGUGGAGACACUCGCCCCUAACCCAAUACCCAGAGGCAGAAGCAGGAGGCUCUCUGAAUUCAAAACUUGCCUGGUCUACAUCUACAGAGUGAGUUCCAGGGCAGCCAUGGCAACAUAGAGAAACUUUAU